UUUAACCUUCUGGCCCCAUCAUGGUCAUUUUUGAUCUUUUCAGUUGUUAUUUCUUUGACCAUUUUGGCUUACUUAAUGGAAAUGGUUUGUAAUUUGGCAAAGUUGUUAAUUUUUGGAUUUUUUUUAAAAUUUUGAUCCCAUGUUGCAGAAUAUGUGUAUUAAACACUGAUUAUUUUCAAUACCGACAUGUAGUACGUUUCGAUCAAAAUUGAUCUCAUUAACGCCCAUUAAAACGUCAUGUACGCCUCGCGCCGUCAUUAAUUAAUGAAUCAUGACUUAUGUUGAAACAUACUUUUAUUUUGAAGGAAAAACAUAAAAUUUGUACUGUAUAGUGUUUUCCACCAGAUGGCGGUACUAUUUUGGUAAGCCCUAUGGGGGGAUAUGCAUGUUAUUUUCCUGGUGUCCAGUAGGGGGACUGUUGACUGUUAUGAAUCAUUUUUACGUCUUUGAAUGAUCUAAAAUUAUGUUUCAGAAGAUGUGUGGGUGUCUGGGAGUGACGUGAGUGUGCAUUGAUAAAUGUGUGUGCGUGUGUGUUUGUGUAUAGGGCGUUUUUAUCUAAAAUUAGUUUAUGCGAGAGACCAAAAUCACAGAGCCCCGCCGGUCAUGUUUUACCUUCUCCGCCUGUCUGUCCUCUCCUCUCUCUAUUUCAUACAUCGAAGCACAAUUACACAGAACCUAACUCUCACACACGCAUGCAAGCACGUACAGGUUAAUGGGUAAGCCUUCAAAGACUCCAAAAUAUGAAAAAUUAUCGAGCCACUUGCAUGAUUGUGGUCUGUUUUAGCGGUUACGGCUGCAGAGCUUCGAACGAGAGUGUAUGUAGGUUUCUGUGGGUGUGUCUGUUUCUCGCUCUGUGUGUGUGUGUGUGUGUGUGUGUGUGUGUGUGUGUGUGUGUGUGUGUAUUUCUAUAUUUGUGAGGACCUCAAAACAUGUUCGCUCAUCUGAGCGAAAGCAGCGUACCAGCCAUUGUUUUUCGUCGUUCUGUCAUGCGUAUUUUACGCACAGACAUAUAACUCUGAAAUGGCUGCAGUUUUUGUGCAGUUUAUCGUUCAAAAAGACAGGAUAAUGUCUCCCUUACGUAGAAGCUCGGCCUCUCAGACUGGUGUGUGUGUGUGUGUGUGUGUGUGAACAGGGUGUAACCCAACACCGCGGUGACGUAAUGCAGCUGAGUAUUCUCCGGGGGCUGACAAAAUGGCUGAGAGGGCAGCGCGCAGAGGAGACGGUAGAUUGUAAAUAGAAAGCGAAAAAUGAACCUAAGAAACGCUGAAAGGACACCCUGUAACAUGAAGUCGGCCUAGCAAAACCGACACAUUAUGCCACCGCUUGCGUCGUCAACUCUGCAUACGCAUUUGGGAUUUUGUCGCUGAAGAAACGGACCUGGGCAAGCCAACUGGCUCGACACUCCCCUACUUUUUCAUGCGAAUACACAGCAGCAGAAACAAUACCUCCAGCUGGAUAUUUGUCCAUACCAACAGGCUUCUUCCAGACCACACCGCAGAUAUUGGACACCGGCUACAUAAGGAGUGGCGAAUAAACAUGUUACAUCUGGACACCUAGACUGUAUGCAUCUGCCAGAAAAGGAUAUGUGGUGUGCUAUGUGGUGGAAAACACUGAAAACUCAUUUUUUGGUCCUCUGGCUUGGGAAUGAGAAUGUAUUUGAAUAUAAAUCAUGAUGUUAUGAUUGUAGGAUCAGACAUGUACUUUUUAAUAGGUUUCAAUGGGUCUUAUGAGCCUUGGUGUUUUUUUACAUCUAAAUCUGAUACAGCACAAAAAAUAAAAAUGCACCAAAAUCAA